AUGCAGUCGAACGGCAGCACGGGAGCAAUCCUGGUGGCGAGUGGCGAACGGGUGAGUAAUGUAUCGGAACGUACCUUUCAGUGGGGGAUAACGUAGCGAAAGUUACGCUAAUACCGCAUAUUCUGUGAGCAGGAAAGCAGGGGAUCGCAAGACCUUGCGCUGAUUGAGCGGCCGAUAUCAGAUUAGCUAGUUGGUGAGGUAAAGGCUCACCAAGGCGACGAUCUGUAGCGGGUCUGAGAGGAUGAUCCGCCACACUGGAACUGAGACACGGUCCAGACUCCUACGGGAGGCAGCAGUGGGGAAUUUUGGACAAUGGGGGCAACCCUGAUCCAGCCAUGCCGCGUGAGUGAAGAAGGCCUUCGGGUUGUAAAGCUCUUUCAGCCGGGAAGAAAUCACAUGGGUUAAUACCCUGUGUGGAUGACGGUACCGGAAUAAGAAGCACCGGCUAACUACGUGCCAGCAGCCGCGGUAAUACGUAGGGUGCGAGCGUUAAUCGGAAUUACUGGGCGUAAAGCGUGCGCAGGCGGUUUGUUAAGAUAGGCGUGAAAUCCCCGGGCUCAACCUGGGAACUGCGUUUAUGACUGGCAGGCUAGAGUAUGGCAGAGGGGGGUGGAAUUCCACGUGUAGCAGUGAAAUGCGUAGAGAUGUGGAGGAACACCGAUGGCGAAGGCAGCCCCCUGGGCCAUACUGACGCUCAUGCACGAAAGCGUGGGGUAGCAACAGAUAGAUACCUGGUAGUCACGCCCUAACGAGUCACUAGUGUGGGUGGGUAAAC
rnacentral:rRNA from 1 species